GGUGAGGUAACGGCCCACCAAGGCGACGAUCAGUAGCCGGCCUGAGAGGGUGGACGGCCACAUUGGGACUGAGACACGGCCCAAACUCCUACGGGAGGCAGCAGUGGGGAAUAUUGCACAAUGGGGGAAACCCUGAUGCAGCGACGCCGCGUGAGCGAAGAAGUAUUUCGGUAUGUAAAGCUCUAUCAGCAGGGAAGAAAAUGACGGUACCUGACUAAGAAGCCCCGGCUAACUACGUGCCAGCAGCCGCGGUAAUACGUAGGGGGCAAGCGUUAUCCGGAUUUACUGGGUGUAAAGGGAGCGUAGACGGUGAAGUAAGUCUGGAGUGAAAGGCGGGGGCCCAACCCCCGGACUGCUCUGGAAACUAUUUGACUGGAGUGCAGGAGAGGUAAGCGGAAUUCCUAGUGUAGCGGUGAAAUGCGUAGAUAUUAGGAGGAACAUCAGUGGCGAAGGCGGCUUACUGGACUGACUGACGUUGAGGCUCGAAAGCGUGGGGAGCAAACAGGAUUAGAUACCCUGGUAGUCCACGCAGUAAACGAUGAAUGCUGGCUGUCCGGGGGGACUGACCCCUGGGUGGCGAAGCGAAAGCGAUAAGCAUUCCACCUGGGGAGUACGCCGGCAACGGUGAAACUCAAAGGAAUUGACGGGGGCCCGCACAAGCGGAGGAACAUGUGGUUUAAUUCGAUGAUACGCGAGGAACCUUACCCGGGAUUGAAAUGUAGAUGACUGAUGGUGAAAACCGUCUUCCCUUCGGGGCUUCUAUGUAGGUGCUGCAUGGUUGUCGUCAGCUCGUGUCGUGAGAUGUUGGGUUAAGUCCCGCAACGAGCGCAACCCUUAUUGUUAGUUGCUACGCAAGAGCACUCUAGCGAGACUGCCGUUGACAAAACGGAGGAAGGUGGGG
rnacentral:rRNA from 1 species